rnacentral:rRNA from 1 species
AACGAACGCUGGCGGUGCGCCUAACACAUGCAAGUCGAACGGAAAGGCCCCUUCGGGGGUGCUCGAGUGGCGAACGGGUGAGUAACACGUGGGUGAUCUGCCCUGCACUUUGGGAUAAGCCUGGGAAACUGGGUCUAAUACCGGAUAGGACUACGGCCUGCAUGGGUUGUGGUGGAAAGCUUUUGCGGUGUGGGAUGGGCCCGCGGCCUAUCAGCUUGUUGGUGGGGUGAUGGCCUACCAAGGCGUCGACGGGUAGCCGGCCUGAGAGGGUGUCCGGCCACACUGGGACUGAGAUACGGCCCAGACUCCUACGGGAGGCAGCAGUGGGGAAUAUUGCACAAUGGGCGCAAGCCUGAUGCAGCGACGCCGCGUGGGGGAAGACGGCCUUCGGGUUGUAAACCUCUUUCAGCACAGACGAAGCGCAAGUGACGGUAUGUGCAGAAGAAGCACCGGCCAACUACGUG